CUCUAGCCCCAAACUCUAAGAUUCAGUGCUCAGGAGACAGUUUUGAGCUAGGAGAUUCACCAUUCUUACUCUAGGAACAUAGAUGACUGGCAGUCAAAUACCUACUGCCACUUUGUGUUUGGACUUGAUGCCACAUGUCAGACUUUCUAUCAUCAAGAAAACAAGAUUCAUGAUUACAGCAGCUGUGUUACCUGUACGGACUUGAACAAGAUGGGCUCAUUAACAUUCCUUCAUGGAUGGGAGAUGGGCUUAUGAGGCUCCACCCCCACCCCAGAGUGCACGUGAAGAAAUGGAAUUAAGGUGAACAGGAGCAGCAGGAGUGGGUCGGCCACUUAGAUUUCAUCUCAAAGGAAGUGCGUGCUUUAAGAAUUUUUGAGGAGGACACUACAAGAAGACAGUCUCAUCCACCAGCCAUUUUAGCACUCGGUGUCAGCAACAGAUAGCAUCUGGAUAUGAAGGGCAGAGGACAGAGCAGGUGACAAGCGACCUGUGUCAAGACAGCCCUAAUGAGACACUUCAGGUGACACACAGCAUCAGGUGAGGGUGUUUAGGGGCCUAGUCUUUUCAUGUGUGCAGGGAGGAUUGUGGGGGCAUGUGCGUGUGUGCUCGCACAUGUGUGCGCACAUGUGUGUGUGUGUGGAGGC